GGUGGCUCAGUGCUAGAGUGCUUGCCUUGCAUGUAUGAGGCCCUGGGUUCGAUUCCCCAGCACCA
rnacentral:tRNA from 1 species